AGUGAACGCUGGCGGUAGGCCUAACACAUGCAAGUCGAACGGCAGCACAGUAAUAGCUUGCUCUUACGGGUGGCGAGUGGCGGACGGGUGAGGAAUACAUCGGAAUCUACUUUUUCGUGGGGGAUAACGUAGGGAAACUUACGCUAAUACCGCAUACGACCUACGGGUGAAAGCAGGGGAUCUUCGGACCUUGCGCGAUUGAAUGAGCCGAUGUCGGAUUAGCUAGUUGGCGGGGUAAAGGCCCACCAAGGCGACGAUCCGUAGCUGGUCUGAGAGGAUGAUCAGCCACACUGGAACUGAGACACGGUCCAGACUCCUACGGGAGGCAGCAGUGGGGAAUAUUGGACAAUGGGGGCAAGCCUGAUCCAGCCAUACCGCGUGGGUGAAGAAGGCCUUCGGGUUGUAAAGCCCUUUUGUUGGGAAAGAAAAGCAGCAGGUUAAUACCCCGCUGUUAUGACGGUACCCAAAGAAUAAGCACCGGCUAACUUCGUG
rnacentral:rRNA from 1 species